rnacentral:rRNA from 1 species
GUGCGUACAUGGUUCUAUCGGCUUUAUUGCUUGGACGUCUAGCUGCGUUUUAUCGCGUGGUUAGGAAGGUCAGGCCUUUUACUGUGAGAAAAUUAGAGUGUUCAAAGCAGGCGCUUCGCUUAAAUAUAUUAGCAUGGAAUACUAAAAUAAGACGUAUGUUUUUAUUUUGUUGGUUUCUAAAAAUAUCGUAAUGAUAAAAAGGGACGGCUCGGGGGUGGACGUAUUCGGAUGUGAGAGGUGAAAUUCAGUAAUCAUCCGAGGACGCACUACUGCGAAAGCAUUCACCAAGGACGUUUUCAUUAAUCAAGAACGAAAGUUAGGGGAUCGAAGACGAUUAGAUACCGUCGUAGUCUUAACCGUAAACUAUGCCGACUAGGGAUCGGAUGGGCGUUUUUUUAGCCCAUUCGGCACCUCGUGAGAAAUCAAAGUUUUUAGGUUCUGGGGGGAGUAUGGUCGCAAGGCUGAAACUUAAAGGAAUUGACGGAAGGGCACCACCAGGAGUGGAGCCUGCGGCUUAAUUUGACUCAACACGGGGAAACUCACCAGGUCCAGACACAGUAAGGAUUGACAGGAUUUGAGAGCACUUUCUUGAUUUUGUGGGUGGUGGUGCAUGGCCGUUCUUAGUUGGUGGAGUGAUUUGUCUGCUUAAUUGCGAUAACGAACGAGACCUUGACUUUUAAAUAGGGUGGCUCACAUUUUGUGGGUUCACGCUUCUUAAAAGGACUAUCAG